AACGAACGCUGGCGGCAUGCCUAACACAUGCAAGUCGAACGAGAUCUUCGGGUCUAGUGGCGCACGGGUGCGUAACGCGUGGGAAUCUGCCCUUUGGUUCGGAAUAACAGUUGGAAACGACUGCUAAUACCGGAUGAUGACGAAAGUCCAAAGAUUUAUCGCCAGAGGAUGAGCCCGCGUAGGAUUAGCUAGUUGGUGUGGUAAAGGCGCACCAAGGCGACGAUCCUUAGCUGGUCUGAGAGGAUGAUCAGCCACACUGGGACUGAGACACGGCACAGACUCCUACGGGAGGCAGCAGUGGGGAAUAUUGGACAAUGGGCGAAAGCCUGAUCCAGCAAUGCCGCGGGAGUGAUGAAGGCCUUAGGGUUGUAAAGCUCUUUUACCCGGGAUGAUAAUGACAGUACCGGGAGAAUAAGCUCCGGCUAACUCCGUGCCAGCCGCCGCGGUAA
rnacentral:rRNA from 1 species